UUGUGUGUGUGCGCAAAAGCUAAUUGAUUUAUAGCUUAUAAAACUUUUUUUGUUUUGUUUUGUUGUUGCUUUAGGACCCACACUGGCAAUAUUCUACCAAGGGGAUGUUAAGUCGUGUACAGAAGAAUAAUUCAACUAUUCAUGGGAUCCAGAAAGCUCUUCACUGUUUCUUCAAGAGUACAGAAGAUGAGAGUAUAAAGGCGCUUUAUCCUGCCAGAAGUGGAAAAUCGCCCUGUCACCAUACUGUGCAGGGGACUGCAUCAUGCACUGUGCACCACCACCACCCACUGCCGCCCAAGGCAGCACAUGGCAGGAAUGGUUUGGAAAAGACUUGGGUUCCGAGGUCAUCAGGUCGGGAUUCAAACUCUAGAUCUUACUAACAGUGUAUUCUUGAGCACGUAUUCAGCCUCUCUGACUUGACUUCUCUAUAAAAAUGGGAGUAUAAAAAGUCUACAUCACAAAAUUGUCGAAAGGAUUUCAAUUGCAUGGAUGUAUAAAUGUCUCUGCCAUAAUAUUUAACACCUCUAGGUGUUCAAAAGAUGAAUUACUUUCUCUUUUAUAUCCUUUUCCUUUCUUAUGCAAAAAUAUAUUGUUGGAAUAGUUUGCGAUUGUUGCAAUUGCUGUUGUUUAUUAAGUUUUUAAGUUUUAAUUCCAGUAUAGUUACAUACAGUGUUAUAUUAGUUUCAGGUGUGCAAUAUAGUGACUCAGCAAUUCUAUACAUUACUCAGUCCUCAUCAUGAUAAGUAAGUGUGGUCUUUAAUCCUUAUCACCUAUCUCACUCACUCCUCCCCCACCUCUCCUUGGGGAUCUGUUCUCUAUAGUUAAGAGUCUGCUUCUUUAUUUGUCUUUCUCUCUUUUUUCUUUUGUUCAUUUUUGCUUAAAUUCCACAUGAGUGAAAUCAUAUGGUAUUUGUCUUUUUCUGAUUUACUUCUCUUAGCAUAAUACUCUCUAGCUCCAUGUUGUUGCAAAUGGCAAGAUUUCAUUGUUUUUUAUGGCUGACUAAUAUUCC
rnacentral:lncRNA from 1 species